GUUGUCCUAAUAACCAAAGAGUGUGGAGACACUGGUAUGGCAUACAGGUGAGAUGUAAUGGUACAUCUGCACUGAAUGUGACCAACUCUGGAGCUAUUUCUGCUGUCAAGAUUUACUCCAAUGGGAUAUGGGUAUAAAUAUCCCUCUGACCUGAGACCGCCACGGUGACUUGCAAGCAACUCACUGCACUUAGGCACUGGACUACCUGAAUUUUUAAUUCAAUGACGGAAGGCUGCUGGGUGUAGUCAAGUACUUGACUUGUCGGUGCAUGUGUCAAGAUGGGAUUGACCACUCCAGUUUAGGAGCUGUGUACAGUCGUGUUUCAAUUUAGCAAAACCUUGGCUAGGGUAGUCCUAGUGAGGAGUCAUAGGACUAAUUGAGUUGAGCAUAAUUCGGAUGAUAUCAUCAGGGUUGACAGUUUAACCCUGAGUCAUCCUAAACAUAGGGGUCAAAAGGGAUGAAUUAUACGGUAACCAUAUUCACGUAGGUUCUGAAUGUUGCGAUUGUGAUUAUUCGACCU
rnacentral:lncRNA from 1 species